rnacentral:rRNA from 1 species
AGAGUUUGAUCCUGGCUCAGGAUGAACGCUGGCGGCGUGCUUAACACAUGCAAGUCGAACGAGCCUUCGGGCUAGUGGCGGACGGGUGAGUAACGCGUGAGAAUCUGCCCUCAGGAGGGGGAUAACGGCUGGAAACGGCCGCUAAUACCCCAUAUGCCGCGAGGUGAAAUGAGAAAUCGCCUGAGGAUGAGCUCGCGUCUGAUUAGCUAGUUGGUGGGGUAAGAGCCUACCAAGGCAUCGAUCAGUAGCUGGUCUGAGAGGAUGAUCAGCCACACUGGGACUGAGACACGGCCCAGACUCCUACGGGAGGCAGCAGUGGGGAAUUUUCCGCAAUGGGCGCAAGCCUGACGGAGCAACGCCGCGUGAGGGAUGAAGGCCUCUGGGCUGUAAACCUCUUUUCUCAAGGAAGAAGAACUGACGGUACUUGAGGAAUAAGCCACGGCUAAUUCCGUGCCAGCAGCCGCGGUAAUACGGGAGUGGCAAGCGUUAUCCGGAAUUAUUGGGCGUAAAGCGUCCGCAGGCGGUCUUGAAAGUCUGUUGUUAAAGCGUGGAGCUCAACUCCAUUUCAGCAAUGGAAACUAGAAGACUAGAGUGUGGUAGGGGCAGAGGGAAUUCCCGGUGUAGCGGUGAAAUGCGUAGAUAUCGGGAAGAACACCAGUGGCGAAGGCGCUCUGCUGGGCCAUAACUGACGCUCAUGGACGAAAGCCAGGGGAGCGAAAGGGAUUAGAUACCCCUGUAGUCCUGGCCGUAAACAUGAACACUAGGUGUCGGGGGAAUCGACCCCCUCGGUGUCGUAGCCAACGCGUUAAGUGUUCCGCCUGGGGAGUACGCACGCAAGUGUGAAACUCAAAGGAAUUGACGGGGGGCCCGCACAAGCGGUGGAGUAUGUGGUUUAAUUCGAUGCAACGCGAAGAACCUUACCAGGGUUUGACAUCCUGCGAAUCUUUUGGAAACAGAAGAGUGCCUUCGGGAGCGCAGAGACAGGUGGUGCAUGGCUGUCGUCAGCUCGUGUCGUGAGAUGUUGGGUUAAGUCCCGCAACGAGCGCAACCCACGUCUUUAGUUGCCAGCAUUAAGUUGGGCACUCUAGAGAGACCGCCGGUGAUAAACCGGAGGAAGGUGUGGAUGACGUCAAGUCAUCAUGCCCCUUACAUCCUGGGCUACACACGUACUACAAUGCUACGGACAGAGGGCAGCAAACUCGCGAGAGCUAGCAAAUCCCAUAAACCGUGGCUCAGUUCAGAUCGUAGGCUGCAACUCGCCUACGUGAAGGAGGAAUCGCUAGUAAUCGCAGGUCAGCAUACUGCGGUGAAUACGUUCCCGGGCCUUGUACACACCGCCCGUCACACCAUGGAAGUUGGCCAUGCCCGAAGUCGUUACUCCAACCCG